AAAGUUAAUGCUAAAUGCCUCAGACAACUUGAGGGCACACCUACUCUCCCAGACCGUAAGGAAACCUUUCUCUCUCUGAAAACAACCCACCGCCCAGUUCUCCUUCUUCCUCUCCUCUCUCUUGUCAGAUCUCGAUCUUUUAUCUGGAUCCUUGGCUUGAGAGUGGGGGGGGGGGGGGGGGGGGGGGGUGUGGGGAAGGCCUUAGAUCUAGCUUUCUUUUCUGUUUUUGUCGGUUUUAUUUUCCGUCUUGCUUUUCUUUCAACCGGUUUCUCCAUGUCUGCCGUCUUUGGUGGUUUUGUAGCUCGGAGUUCGUCUCCGUUCUGGUCUUGCCCCAUUUUCUGUGUUUCCGAUUUCACACUUCCCUAUUCAAUGGUUUCCCUCCUUUUCAUCUCCCUCUGUUCUGCUUGGUUUGGUUCAUCGGUUCUUCGGAGCCACUCUCUAUGUGGGAUUUUCUCACUAUCGCACGGGGUGAUGCAACAAGAUUCUGUGUAACUUCGGACGAGGUUCUUGAUGCAGAUGAGGGUUCUGGUGAUUUCUGGAGGUUUGAAGGCUGGUUUCAUGGAAUUUGGCAUAGGUCUUGCUCGACCCAUUGUCCUGAAAUGCUCCUGUCGCUAUUUGCUUCACGUUGGGUUCGAUUUGGGGGUUUUCCAUUCUGCGGAAAAGGGGAUUGAGUUGGGUUCGAGUUGAAGGAGGAGGAAAGGGGUUUCACGGGUUUAGGGAUUGUUGCUCAAUUCCUUUCGAUUGCAUCAAGAGCAACCUCGUUGGCUCUCACCUAGUCGAAUCUGCUCACUAAUCGACAAAUAAGAAGAUGCAAGAGAAGAUGGAAAGGAGACUUGGGGGUAUAAUUAAUUGCUCUAAAUCAUGUAAAGGUACUUGUGAAUAGCAAAGAAGCUUGUGAUCACGGGCGCAAGGUGGGAGGCUGCAUUAUAUUUUUUUUCUUUUGAGUGUCCAGGUCUGGGAGAUUGCUAGGAUGAAAGCUUCGAACAGCUUUGCACUCGUUAUGAAAGGUAAGGCCAAAAGAGUUGUAUCUUCCCAACAACGUUGGUAUGAGGUUUUGAAAUCCCAGAUUGAAACAGGAACUCCAUACAUGCUUUUUAAGAUCAUGUUGUUCAAGUAAAGGACGGUGCAUGUAGUUGAUGCUGGAUAAAGACAGGUGGGGAACUAGAUUUGAUUCCAUGGCUAAACAAAUCAAAAUUUAACUCACCAAGAAUCGCAUCAACUUUAUAGGUUUGACACCAUGGCUGCACAGACUAAGUUCCGGGAAUAGUGGGAAGACAAGAGUUUGUAUCAAUAUGUUGGCUGUAGAAACCAAGUUCCUGCACACACUAUAUGUGGCAUGUUUAAUUUGGAACAACGUAGUUGUAUCAGCUUUUGAUGUCCCAAGUAGAUGGCCAUGCAUUUGAAUACUUUUCUUCUAUUAAUGGUUGCUUGGAUGAUUGGGAAAUGCUCCCUUUUAACAUUUGAGAUAUAUGGAAUGGGUUUGAUUACUCAUUUGAGCA